UUGAUGCCUUGACAUGCUAUUUUCAAGCACAUAUCUCCAACUUUGUGUGUGGCGUUCACUAUAUUGUGUGGGGAAUUCUCGGCACAGACAAGGUGAUUAGUGCUUCACCAAUCAUUGACAGAGAAUUCGAGGCCCAGAAAAGGGAGAUGGUUUCUUGAAGGCCAUCUUCACCAGUUCUAAUGGUACCAGGGCAUCUGCUAGGGCAAUUCAUUACACAGAGGGGGUCAAAGGACUGCAAGCAAAUGACACGAUCACCACCAGUCGUGAUUCAGAGAGAUAAUAAUGGAGGAGAGAAGAGCCCGGCAUGCUGUGGUCCAUGGAAUCACAAAGAGCUGGACAUGAUUGAACAACAAAACAACAACAAAAAUCCCCAGAGCCUGGUACAGAGCUUGGUACAUAGUAGGCACUUAUUACAUGCUUAUUGAUUGACUGAUUCACAGGGCCAACAGAGAUCUGAUUAAACAUUUUAAUCAAUGACUUAGAUAAAAAGCAUAAAUGUCCUGCUUAUCAAAUUCGUGUAUAUUGUGGUGUGGAUCUGUGGUCUGAUUGAGGAAGGGAACUCCCAGUGUGGAAACCCCCUCUAAUAAUCCAUAUUGGCAGCCAUUCUGUAAGUUGCAAUGUUAGAGAGUUACCUAGGGCACUGAGAGGUUAAAUAGCAUUACCAUGAGAAUGCUAUUUAACCUCUCAGUGUGUCUCAGAAGUAGAGUUUGAAACCAGGUCUCUCUGAGAGGUAUCUGGCUAAUUAGCUAUGCAAUCUGUUGACGCUCCAUGUUGACAAUCCAUGUCACUCUAACACACAAUUUUAAUGUAUACUGUUAAAAAAAUAAAAUAAAAAAUUAGCA
rnacentral:lncRNA from 1 species